rnacentral:rRNA from 1 species
GGAGUUUGGUCCGUGUCUCAGUACCAAUGUGGGGGACCUUCCUCUCAGAACCCCUACUGAUCGUUGCCCCGGUGGGCCGUUACCCCGCCGGCAAGCUAAUCAGACGCAUCCCCAUCCCUUACCGAUGAAUCUUUGCUCCUCAUUAGAUGCCUGCAAAGGAGAACAUAGAGUAUUAAUCCGACUUUCGCCGGGCUAUCCUCUAGUAAGGGGAAGGUUGGAUACGCGUUACUCACCCGUGCGCCGGUCGCCAGCGGAGAUAGCAAGCUAUCUCCCUGAUGCCCCUCGACUUGCAUGUGUUAAGCCUGUAGCUAGCGUUCAUC